rnacentral:lncRNA from 1 species
AUGUAACAUACCUUGAAAUAUAUAUAAUUUAUGAGAAAAUUUCAUUUUUAUACAAAAUUAGAAUCCAUAAUAGGUGUAAUUUCCAUAAAAGCAAAACAUUUAACAAUAUUUGUCAAUGAAUUGGAACACAUAAGUUUCCAAAUUAAAGUGUACAAAAAUAAAAUAUUUCUAGUUUCAUAAUGAAUUAAUCAACCUAAUACUCAUAAGGACGAUCUUCAUCACAUUGGUCGCCUACUUCAAGUUCUCCACCUACAAAUAAUCAAAAAACAAACAAUUUAGCGAAAGUUCUAUAAAAGGAUCUCAUUUAAAGAUAUGUAUAUAUUAAUGUCAUGACACAUUUCUCUCACCAAAUAAAGCAGAUUAGAGGAAACAUUUUCCAGAUAUGAAGAAACUGAACAAACACAACCAGAUAUUGCCAUAAGGUCAUCAACAACCAUAAAUCAUCAGACUUCCCCUUCUAGUCCAAACACAACUCUAUCAGAUAUAGCGAAUUCGUUUGCACCAAAUUAAAUAUAGUAAACAUCAUUGUAUGGACAGCGGAGCCUCAAAACAUGACUAUUUUAACAUACCAGUUAAAUAAAAGAUCAACACAAAGAAAGAAUAAGACAUUUACAACUGCCAAAAAUUCCUCAAUAAUGGACUAAGAUAGUCUCAGAUUCAAACAGUGAAGGAAUGAUCACACUUAACAAGAAACUGCCACUAAUCCAAAACUUAUUUUAGCCUAAUUGAUAACACAUCUCUACAGAAAAGCACAACCAGCAAAGAAAACUGCCACUAAUCCAAGACUGAAUUUAGCCUAAUUGAUAACACUUCUCUACAGAAAACCACAACCAGCAAAGAAGAGGAAAGAGGAGGAUUUUUGACACUUAGAAUUUGAACUACCAGAUAGUGUCACAUUCUUAGAUUGAGCAUGUUCAAAGCAAGACAGAGCCUAAAUGUGACACCAAAACACUCCAAAAGAUCUAUGCAACCACAAAUAAGAUGUUGAAACCAAGCGAACAUUCAUCAGUUGUGCAUUUGACACUAAUAGAAAUCUGCGGCUGUAAGCAUGAACAAGAAACUAAAGAGCAAUUACUCAGCUUUAUUCCUGGGACGAUUUAUUUUAAACAUGUCCCUGCUCCUUUGAGUAUGAAACCACAUAACAAAAUAGAUGCAUGAGGAUAAUGACACACUAGCAAAUUCCAAUUUAAUCCUAUCUCGAGUGGAAACUUUGCACAUAACAACAGAGAACUAGAAAGCUUCCAAGUUUACCCAUCCAGUUAAGAGAAAUCGAUGUUUACAAACUGAACUGAUCCUAAUCUUGCUUCAAAGGUGAAAACAAAUCACUAGAAAUGGAAACAAAUAGAUAGACAAUACAAACUGGUCGGCAUUCAAGUGUCAAGAAUGAUCACAAUCUUGCUUCAAAGAUGAAAACAAAUCACUAGAAAUGGAAACAAAUCGAUAGACAAUACAAACUGGUCGGCAUUCAAGUGUUAAGAUAGUCUGUACAUUUAACAUCAGGGCGUGAAAAAUACUACGUGUACCUGGACUGAUUUACGGCUAGUACAUGAAUAAGCAUGAAAUUUCAGGAAAAUCCAUGAGUUGUUCAAAACCUAGUUCAUACACUUUCCAAUAUAGAGAGAACAGAUUCAAACAAUGGAACAAGGACCAACUCAAACUUGAUUAUCACGCUUUAGAUCACUGAAUUCAACACAUUGACAACGAAGGUAUCACAUGAAAUCAAUUCUACCCGAACAGAGCAGAAUGGAGCGGAUUUUCAUUCAAAUAUAUGCAAAAUAUCAGUACGACCUCAAACAUUCUAACCAAGUUAAUAUCAAACUAGCUAACUGAACUCCAAUUCAUAACCAAACGAAUCAGCAUCAAAACUAACUAGAGAAUGUACAUCGAAAUAAAAAAGAGCAUAAGAAGAUGAACCUGAAAUUGAAUCUUUCUUUUGAUAAUAGAAUUGAAGGCUAUUACACAGUUUCAACUCCAAAACUCCCAUCAGAACACAAUGGUAAAUCAAAACUCGAAGAACAACAAACCAAUAUACGUGCAGCGUGUAGACAAAUGCAACAACUCGAUUAUUAUUGUAUACAACUAUUCAAUGCAAUUCUCUAAAUAGAAAUGACUUUCGAAUGAUCUUGCUCAAUUAUUAUAGUAUACAACUAUUCAAUGCAAUUCUCUAAAUAGAAAUGACUUUUGAAUGGUUUGUUAGACUCUGUUUCUAGACGUGGGAAGAUAGCAAGGCGAGCAAACAAGAUUGCACAUACACAUACAUCAGACAUAGGAAAUUAAAUAGCUAUAAUGAAGCACACAAAAACAGAAAUUUUGAAUCCUACUGUAACAUUGAAAAAUGAUGUACACCGGAUAUCUGAUAAGGCUAAUCAGUCAGCUUUGCAAGAGAGAAGUUUGAGCCUGCUCGCUCGACCUAUGGCAGAACAUGAAAUAGCUGAACAAGCAGCUUUUACUUUUUCUAUCGUGCACACUAAAAAUGUUCUUGCUAUGGAAAAUGCAGCAGAAACUAUACCAACUGAUCGCAGAUGCGGUCAUCCUAACAUAAUGCAUAAUCCUACUUCGCAAAAUGAUGACAUGUACACUAUACCAUAGGUGCAUAUAAGUGAAACGCGAUUAUCCAUAAUAUUGAUUUUUUAAAUUCCUUGGCUAAUUGUAUCCUAAUGUAUAACCAGAACACCCAUAUUAGAACACAAGAGCCAACGAAAUAGAAAACAAACACAAAAAAUGAAAUCCCCCCAUAUAUACAUCAAUUUUCUCCAACUCUACCAACUUUAAAUUUCCCUAUUUAUAUUUUAGGAUUUUGUCGACCUCAACAAUGGAGUUUUGAAGGGUAGUUGUCACUUUAAUUCCACCCAAACAACAAUAAACUCAAUAUUAAUUACAAAAUAAACUUCGAAUAAAAUUUUGGCUCAAAGAAUUGAAACCCAGUUUCUCAAACUCUAAUUUUACUAAAAUCCAACUUUUUUUUUUCAUUGAUUUUUUUCCCGGAAACUCAAAUCUUCACCAAAUCUGAGAUACAAAUUUCAAACCCCACAAAAAUUUAAAACCAAACAUAAAUUAGAACAAAAGAUAAUAACUUUAUAGAAACCCAUUUGCAUAUUUUGUAAUCUUUUCCAAAAAUAUUUGAAUAUAAAAUCUAGAAAUACGGAACUUAUAAACCAUGGAGGAGUGCAUGCAGAUCUAUUGAGGUAGAGAGCAAUACAUGUCGAAGCCUUUGCUGGUCGAAAUUCUUCGCUGGACAAAAACCUUGCUGGAUUUGGAGCAGGUUUUUGCUCUUGAAGAAGCUUCAAUGGAGGGUUUUUCUCAAUGAAUUAAGUAGAAAAGCUUUUACACUGACUGGUCGAAUCUCUAUGGAACUGAUUUUCACUAGUGAAGAGCCUUCAUAGCUUUUGGAUUUUGGUUGUUUUUGCUCUUGAAGAAGAAAGUGCUCUAUUUUUCUUUAAAUUGAUAUACUGAAUAAUGAAUAAAAGAGAAAAAAUACUCUUAUUUACUUAAUUUGAUAUAAUUUUUUUAAUUAUAAAAAUAAGCUUCGCUGUUUUGUGAAAUAGUGGAGGGAAAUAGCGGAGGGAAAUGACAUACCCAAAGAACCG